AAAUGGCACAUUCCAUUGCCUUUAAAAUUCCCAAACCAAAAUUAAAAGAACAGAAAGAGUCUUUCACAUCCAUACAUAUAUAUACCUAACCUUCAACAUGGCUGAAGAAUCUGCUCAAAGAAAAACUCGAUGGCCAGAGCUUGUGUUCGUAAAUUUUUGUACUGCUGCUAGGAUAAUAGAAAAAGAGAAUCCUGACGUGAAGGCUAUCAAGAUUCUGGUUGAUAGUCCCAGAAUUCAGAAUUUUGAUAUUAGCCGAGUUUGGGUUGAUUGCAAUAUAGAAGAAAGAGUUGUUAAAGUGCCCAGCGUUGGUUAAAUAUUGGGUGAUGUGUAUAAGGUCAAUAUGUAUAAUGUCUAUGCAUAUGUCUAAGUGAAUUGUAUGCUUAAUUAUGUCAUUCCAAAAUUGUACUAAUAAGUGGUAUUUCUACCCUUUCACUCUGUUUAUUUGUAAUAAAUUGUUGAGUUAAUUGUUCCAACAAACAUCAAACAUCAACAAAGACCAAUCUUUAGAUAUUGCUCAUGCAAGUCAUGUUA